CGAGAGUCGAUGUCACAUGCCUGUGGCAUAGGACAUGGGGCUGGACGGUGGCUGCGCUUCUAAAUUGGCCUUCAUCCAGAUCUGGACAGGUUAAUUGUCGUGUGUGUGAGAUGCUUGACCUCAAGAUUAUCAUCGCCCUUGGUGGCGGCUUACUGAUUGUCACAUUUGUGCUGAUGGCUGUUGUCAUCUGUCUUUACUACAAAGUAGCCAACGCAUUGAAAUGUUCAAAGGCAUAUUUGGCUCUGACCAUCAAUGAUAAUGAGGCCACAGUCACGAUGACCACAGACUCCACCAAUGGGUCCUAUCCCAGCAUCCAGUGUUGUGAAGAAUGUAACUUGAAUGCCAACUCGAACCCCCUGCCACCGUGAUUCUGUGACGUAACCAAAAGCCCUGGACUUGGCACAAAAAUCUUCAUUCACAGUAUUUCUUUCUUGGUAGAAUUCAUUAUUCAAGUCAGGUUCAAAUCAUGUUUAUAUCAUGUUAAGUACCACAUAUUUAUGUACUUUUGGAUAAAUAUGCAAGAGGAAAAUAA